UACGUGGGUGGCGAGCGUUGUCCGGAUUUACUGGGCGUAAAGAGCGCGCAGGCGGUCGUAUAAGUCGAAUGUGAAAGCCCCCGGCUCAACUGGGGAGGGUCAUUCGAUACUGUUCGACUCGAAGGCAGGAGAGGGAAGUGGAAUUCCCGGUGUAGUGGUGAAAUGCGUAGAUAUCGGGAGGAACACCAGUGGCGAAGGCGACUUCCUGGCCUGUUCUUGACGCUGAGGCGCGAAAGCUAGGGGAGCAAACGGG
rnacentral:rRNA from 1 species